rnacentral:lncRNA from 1 species
CCUGUCCUACUGACCACACUUUCCCAGAAGCAAAUAUUAUAACAUAUAUACAUGUACUAGAUACAAUCAUUUUAAGGUCACGUGUAUGUGGUUUAUUGCCUUUAAUUUUCAGAUGGUUUAUUGCUUUUAAUUUUCAGAUGGUUUAUUGCCUUAAAUUUUUAGAUGGUUUAUUGCCUUUAAUUUUCAGAUUAUUUUGUUCAUCCGUUUUAUCCGUUACGCUUCCGUUAGGUGUCCGUUUUAUCCGGUACUCGUCCGUUGGAUGUACGUUCGACGUCCGUUCUGUCCGGUACGUAUCCGUUUCAUGUACGUUCAAUGUCCGUUGUGUGUCCGUUAGGCAUUCGUUACAUGUCCGUUAGUAAACCAACGGACUCCCAACGGAUAAAAAUUUUGUCAACGGAUAACUUUUUUUUUUUAUCCGUUAG